AAGUCGAGCGAACAGACGAGGAGCUUGCUCCUCUGACGUUAGCGGCGGACGGGUGAGUAACACGUGGAUAACCUACCUAUAAGACUGGGAUAACUUCGGGAAACCGGAGCUAAUACCGGAUAAUAUAUUGAACCGCAUGGUUCAAUAGUGAAAGACGGUUUUGCUGUCACUUAUAGAUGGAUCCGCGCCGCAUUAGCUAGUUGGUAAGGUAACGGCUUACCAAGGCAACGAUGCGUAGCCGACCUGAGAGGGUGAUCGGCCACACUGGAACUGAGACACGGUCCAGACUCCUACGGGAGGCAGCAGUAGGGAAUCUUCCGCAAUGGGCGAAAGCCUGACGGAGCAACGCCGCGUGAGUGAUGAAGGUCUUCGGAUCGUAAAACUCUGUUAUUAGGGAAGAACAAAUGUGUAAGUAACUAUGCACGUCUUGACGGUACCUAAUCAGAAAGCCACGGCUAACUACGUGCCAGCAGCCGCGGUAAUACGUAGGUGGCAAGCGUUAUCCGGAAUUAUUGGGCGUAAAGCGCGCGUAGGCGGUUUUUUAAGUCUGAUGUGAAAGCCCACGGCUCAACCGUGGAGGGUCAUUGGAAACUGGAAAACUUGAGUGCAGAAGAGGAAAGUGGAAUUCCAUGUGUAGCGGUGAAAUGCGCAGAGAUAUGGAGGAACACCAGUGGCGAAGGCGACUUUCUGGUCUGUAACUGGCGCUGAUGUGCGAAAGCGUGGGGAUCAAACAGGAUUAGA
rnacentral:rRNA from 1 species